rnacentral:rRNA from 1 species
GAACGCUGGCGGCGCGUCUUAAGCAUGCAAGUCGGACGGCAAGGGUUGUGCUUGCACAACUCCUAGAGUGGCGGACUGGUGAGUAACGCGUGGGUGACCUGCCCUCGAGAUGGGGACUAGCCAUUAGAAAUGGUGGAUAAUACCGAAUACGCUCAUGACCCUGUGGGGAUAUGAGGAAAACAGGCUACGGCCUGGGCUCGAGGAUGGGCCCGCGUCCCAUUAGCUAGUUGGUGAGGUAACGGCUCACCAAGGCGACGAUGCGUAGCCGACCUGAGAGGGUGAUCGGCCACAUUGGGACUGAGACACGGGCCCAGACUCCUACGGGAGGCAGCAGUGGGGAAUAUUGCACAAUGGGGGAAACCCUGAUGCCAGCAACGCCGCGUGAGUGAUGACGGCCGUUCGGGUUGUAAAGCUCUGUCUUCAGGGACGAUAAUGACGGUACCUGAGGAGGAAGCCACGGCUAACUACGUGCCAGCCGCCGC